GAGAUUGUGGAGUGCAGAAAGACGUCCCUGCUCCUGUAAAUGUGCUGAUGUGGUGUCCUGUCCUCUGAUUUCUGUGUGUGAGAGAAACACACUGACAUUUCUGUUCCAUGUUAAACUUUAGCUGUAUUAUGGCUGUGUUUGUGUGUUUGAGAUCAGUGUUGUGAUAUUUCAUAAUUUCUCUUCCAGGCUGUGUGAGUGUAAUCUGACAGAGGAAAGCUGUAGAGUUCUGUCCUCAGUUCUCAGCUCAAACUCCUCCAGUCUGAGAGAACUGGACCUGAGUGACAACAAACUGCAGGAUUCAGGAGUGAAGCUGCUCUCUGCUGGACUGGAGAAUCCACACUGUACACUGGAGAUAUUGAGGAUGUAUACCUGCAGUAUUACAGAUGAAGGUUGCGCUGCUCUGGCUUCAGCUCUGAGGUCAAACUCCUCAUCACACCUGAGAGAAUUGAGUCUGAACGGUAAUAAUCCAGGAGAAUCAGGAGUGAAGCUGCUCUCUGAUCUACUGAAGGAUCAACACUGUAAACUGGAGACACUACACCUUAAGCGUCUACACACAACACAGAGAUAUCAUCACAUCAUCACACUGAUUACACAAAUACACAUCCAUGUGUUCUAGCUGUUUAUAGCUCAUUUUUACCUCCUUAUUUUUAUCUAACAUUUGUUUCUCCACAUAUGAUUGAGGAACAGUUGUAAUAUUCAAUUAAGUUCCUUGUUUGCUAAUGUAUUUUAAUAGUAACCAUGGUAACAGCUCUGUUGAUUGAUUUGUUGUUAUAGUGAUAAAAUGACCUCACUUCUAUUUGACUGGUUCCUUGGGUCCAGACCAGCAGGGUUCUUGUCCCAGACUUGAACCAUUUUUGCUGAACAAUAACUAGAUAUUUUCUGGUGAAAAGUACAGAAUGGUUCCAGCACUGGUACCUUAUUUCAGUACAGAAACAUACACAUUAUCUGAGUCUACACGAAAAUGUGUGUCUUGGGUCUAAAAUGUAAGUUCACAUCACUGAGCAUGACAUCACUUCCUGUACGCAUGACUACAAAAAUCACCUGAAGCUGAAGAAUGUAGAAGCAGCUGAAAUGUUAUGAUAUCAGAUUGUACUGAUUUUUCAUGAAGAACAGAAGCGUGAAAUAAAACUCUGCCUUCCUUCCUGCUAAUAAUCAUUAUGAUGAUGUUAAGAGAUUAAUAAUGUUCUUCUCUGGUGAUCAGUUCACACCAUUCCAGGAUUCAUUAUUCUGUAAUCUCACACCAGCUAAUUACAGUAAACAUGUAUAUGAGUGUAAGUAAGCUCAUGUGAUAAAACAAGUGAAAGAGCUGAACUAGAAAGUAACAUGUAUCACUGCAUCUAAGUUUGACUGUUUAAGAUAUUUAGAUUUUUAAAAAACUGUAACUGAAAAGCUUUAAGUACAUGCAUUGUAUAUAUUCCUGUCAUUUAAUACAGUUUUGUAUACAAGUUGUAUACGCUCACUGUCCACUUUAUUAGGAACACCUGUACACAUUCAUUCAUUCAGUUUACUGGCAAUUUGUAACUUCAAAUAUACAAUAUAUAAGCAAAUAAGCAAGAAAUAAAGGUGU